rnacentral:rRNA from 1 species
UACGUAGGGUGCAAGCGUUAAUCGGAAUUACUGGGCGUAAAGCGUGCGCAGGCGGUGAUGUAAGACAGAUGUGAAAUCCCCGGGCUCAACCUGGGAAUGGCAUUUGGGACUGCAAGGCUGGAGUGUGGCAGAGGAGACUGGAAUUCCUGGUGUAGCAGUGAAAUGCGUAGAUAUCAGGAGGAAUACCGAUGGCGAAGGCAGGUCUCUGGGCUGACACUGACGCUCAUGCACGAAAGCGUGGGGAGCAAACAGG